rnacentral:lncRNA from 1 species
CACGAGUUGAUCUGGGGCAUUCUUCAUGUUCAUAACAGCAGCAAAUACCUCAAGAGACUGAGGGAGGGAUCUAGCCAAGGCCAAGGUGAGGAUCCGUAACAAAUUUGUUGUAAUAUUGUUUUGUAGGUCACCUACAACUAGAUCUGUUCAUGGGUCAGGCUUUGGGCUUAGAGUUUAUUCAUUUUUAAUCAAGCUUCGGGCUGGAUCUAUAUAAUUUUUGAUA